CGGCGCGGGGCACUCUGGGAGUUGUAGUUCCGCUCCUGGCGCGGCCACCCUGCCGGCCCAGACGGGGCCUCGGACUACAAGCCCCAGCAUGCCGCGCCCCGGAUGCCGUGGCGGUCAGAGGAAGCCGCGAGCUGAAGGGCGAGGCCGGGCGGGGCGCUGGGCUCCGGCACCUCGGGCUCCUGCUUGUGUCGCCUCCCGCAGCUCCGGGCCAGCUCAGGCCGUCCUCCCGUCGUGUCGCACCGCUCUCCGGUGGCGAAGACGGAGCCCACACCCGCCGCACAGCGAGUCAGAGCCUCUGUCUCUUGCAAAAUAGAGAUUUCAUGAAAGACAAAGCCGUACCGUGUGCCGUGCGGUUUACAGUAAAGGACUGGGCAGGGUCUGUGCUCAGCCCGCAGCUCCGGCUCUUCCCAGUUCCCUGCUUUCUGAAAUCACUUCGAAGCGUCUCCCCAUGUGAUUAGACUAGACAGACCGGCCCGGGGCGGGGUCAGCACCUGCUUCCCUGGUCCCCAGGCUGGGGCUUCAGCUCUCUGCAGAAAGGCCACAUGGAGAGCUGAGGCAGAAGCAUCACUCCAUCAGACUCUGGGGAUGAGAAGUAUGGAGCCUGGAACCAUAUAAGGUGAUAAAGCCAGAGCUUCACUUACUCCAUAAAUGUUAACACCUGCCAAGUGCCGGGCCUGUUCUAAACACUGAGGAUCCCACAUGAACAAAGGAGACAAAAAUGUCUGCCUUUGUGAUGCUUCCCUCAUAGUGAAAGGAAACAAUUAAAAAUAAGCAGGAAAAACACGUAUAGCCGUAUGUCAGAUGGUGAAAAAUACUAAGGAGAAAUAAGAGAAGAGAGCUUCGGAGUGACAACAGUGACUACAUUUAGCUUUGUUUUCUAACAGUGUAUCUGGGGUUCGGAGCAGAGCAGAGAGAAGAUGUGGCCCUCGUGCUGGGACGAGCCUGCGUUGCUGGGAUCAGUGUUCAUUUUGCAGCACUGCCUUUGGGACCAGCACACACUCAGUGUCCCCACUAAGUCCCUCUUCCUCCCCAGGCGGUGUCCAUUCUCACACAGCAAACUUCAGGGGCAAGCACAUCUCUGGAGAGUGGAUCAGUGCAAGGCUGAAGUUACUGAAAUGUUCGACCAGUUGUGCCUCAGAUUUGACAGCAGAGAUGAUUAACAAUAACAUAAUUAUUGAACUGCAAACAAACAAACAAAAGGUGUUUCUCAGAACUGAAAAAUCAGAGAAGCAGUAAAUAGCCCUGAGCAGGCCUGCACAAGCCUGAGCUGAGACCCACACAAGCACACCUCCGCUGCCAGGAGCACCUCCAAGCUUUCACCCCUUCCUAAACCCCUGACCGGAAGAUUCUGGCUGUGCCCAAGUUUCUCCAGGAGAGGGCAACACCGGCCUUAACAAACUGCCCUGCCAGCAGAUGUGCUGUGGCUGCCAGAAUGAGGUCAAGAUAUUUAAGGAAGUGGGAGGUUGCAAAAAACCAUAUAAAAAUAGAUUGUGUUCUAUUACUGUGUUUUGCCCAGUCCUUGACUAGGCAAGGCUGCGUAGCAGUCUGUCUGUUGUCACUUAACCUUUAGCAUUGCUGUGCCCGCUGACCAAUUCAUGAAGACCAGUGCUGUGACUCUGCCCCUAUCCCUCUCAGAAUGUACCCAGAACUCAAGGUAAGACACAGCAAUGCUAGUUUAUUCUGCCCGAGGGAGCGUAAACGGUGUCUUAACAACUCAAGCUUCAUGACUCAAGCUUUGAAACCACCUUACCUCCCCUUGGAAUAAAAUAAGAAGUGAAGACAAGGCAGUUCUCUGGGAUCUGUAAGGCCUGACCCAUGCCAACAUUUGUGUUGUUGGGAUCCUUUCAUUUUUGGAAAACUAGGAGAGCAGAUGAGACACAGAACCCACAAGAAAUAGCCAAUAAACUCAGUCACCCUGGGUGAUAGAAUUUCAGAGCUGGAAGGAGCCUUACUCCACAGUCUAGAAACUGAGGCUGGGAGGUAGUGCCACAGCUGCUGUCACAGCUGAAGAUUGCGCAUCCCUGCCCCACCGAGGACCCACCUCGGCUUCAGAUGCUUCCUCACCAACGCGGAGAUUCCCGUGCUUGGGGUGGGGAGACGGAGCCGUGGAAGAGGGUGCGUGCUCAGAGCCAGCUUCCAGAGAGCUGAAAGUAGAGCCUCCUAGCUGCACCCUUCCAUCCACCGCUUCCAGGCGUCCUCCUGAGGACGGACAGCCCACUUGCUGACCAGAGCAGAGAGGCCGGCACUCAUCGGGAACUACAGCUCCCAGCAGACACCAGACGGGGACAGGCUGUGCCCCUGUGCCCGUUCCAGAUUCCCAAAUAUGGAGAAGGACUGGGCUUGGGGAGAGGAACUGAGUGUUCACCCUUGAGAGAGGGAGAGAGAGAGGAUGAGGUGGCAUGUAGCGGCGAGUGACUUCCUUCACCUCUAAGACUGAAGCUCCACGGACUGGCUGCGGAGCAGGGAGGAAGAGGAGCAGGUCAUUGAAAGUCAUAAUCAAGCUUGGUCUCUGAGCCCUUCUCCAAGGAGAAGGUCACAGGACUGUAACCUUACAAAAUAGCCUAAAUUACCAAGAAGACCACACCUUGAGUGCUUAGGAGAUAAAGAGAUCUAACUGCUAACUGGUCGCCUGGAGGCAUCAU